rnacentral:rRNA from 1 species
GACGGAGGAUGCAAGCGUUAUCCGGAAUGAUUGGGCGUAAAGCGUCUGCAGGUGGCAGUUCAAGUCUGCUGUCAAAGACCGGGGCUUAACUUCGGAAAGGCAGUGGAAACUGAACAGCUAGAGUAUGGUAGGGGCAGAGGGAAUUCCUGGUGUAGCGGUGAAAUGCGUAGAGAUCAGGAAGAACAUCGGUGGCGAAGGCGCUCUGCUGGACCAUAACUGACACUCAGGGACGAAAGCUAGGGGAGCGAACCGG